rnacentral:tRNA from 1 species
GUUUCUAUAGUUUAAAGAAAAAUAUUAAAUUGCAAAUUUAAAGAUAAGUGUAUUUAGAAAUU